AUUGAACGCUGGCGGCAUGCUUUACACAUGCAAGUCGAACGGUAACAGGCCUUCGGGUGCUGACGAGUGGCGAACGGGUGAGUAAUGCAUCGGAACGUACCCAGAGGUGGGGGAUAACGCAGCGAAAGCUGUGCUAAUACCGCAUGUGAUCUGAGGAUGAAAGCGGGGGACCGAGCAGCAAUGUUUGGCCUCGCGCCUUUGGAGCUGCCGAUGUCGGAUUAGCUAGUUGGUGGGGUAAAGGCCUACCAAGGCGACGAUCCGUAGCUGGUCUGAGAGGACGACCAGCCACACUGGGACUGAGACACGGCCCAGACUCCUACGGGAGGCAGCAGUGGGGAAUUUUGGACAAUGGGCGCAAGCCUGAUCCAGCAAUGCCGCGUGCGGGAAGAAGGCCUUCGGGUUGUAAACCGCUUUUGGCAGGAACGAAACGGUGUCCGCUAAUACCGGGCGCUAAUGACGGUACCUGCAGAAUAAGCACCGGCUAACUACGUG
rnacentral:rRNA from 1 species